AGACGGAGGGUGCAAGCGUUGUCCGGAAUUAUUGGGCGUAAAGCGUCCGUAGGUGGCAUGACAAGUCUGAUGUUAAAGCCUGGAGCUCAACUCCAGUUCAGCAUUGGAUACUGUCAAGCUAGAGUACAGGAGAGGCAAGGGGAAUUCCUAGUGUAGCGGUGAAAUGCGUAGAUAUUAGGAGGAACACCGGUGGCGUAAGCGCCUUGCUGGACUGAAACUGACGCUGAGGGACGAAAGCCAGGGGAGCAAAUGGGAUUAGAAACCCCAGUAGUCC
rnacentral:rRNA from 1 species